GACGUAGGGUGCAAGCGUUGUCCGGAAUUAUUGGGCGUAAAGCGCUCGUAGGUGGAUUUGCAAGUCCGCAAGGAAAGACCCGGGCUCAACUCGGGAACCCGUGUGGAUACUGCAAACCUUGAGGUAGUCAGAGGAUGAUGGAAUUCCCGGUGUAGCGGUGAAAUGCGCAGAUAUCUGCAGGAACACCUGUGGCGAAAGCGGCGCACUGGACCACAACUGACGCUGAGGCGCGAAAGCUAGGGGAGCAAACAGG
rnacentral:rRNA from 1 species